GCUGCAUUCCAUGCUAUCGCGGUAUAGUAAUAUAUUGAGGAAAGUCCGGACAGCACAGGGCAACGUACCGGUUAACAGCCGGGUUCCGCUCACAGCGGAAACAGAUAGUGCCACAGAAAAUAACCGUCUUGCCUUAGCAGGAUAAGGGUGAAAAUGUGAGGUAAGAGCUCACAAUUUUGCAGGGCAACUUGCAGAAUGGGUAAACCUUGCGUGCUGAAAUGCUAUGUAUACCCUGAUUUUCCGCCUGCCCGGUGGAAUUUCUCCGGAAAUAUCAGGGAGGGUAAGCAGAUAGACCUGGUUAGUAAUAACCCGGCCAGAUAAAUGAUAGCACACGACAGAAUCCGGCUUACAGGUUUGCAGUAAAA
rnacentral:RNase_P_RNA from 3 species